rnacentral:rRNA from 1 species
UGAGGAAUAUUGGUCAAUGGGCGCGAGCCUGAACCAGCCAAGUAGCGUGAAGGAUGAAGGUCCUACGGAUUGUAAACUUCUUUUAUACGGGAAUAAAGUGGUCCACGUGUGGAUUUUUGCAUGUACCGUAUGAAUAAGCAUCGGCUAACUCCGUGCCAGCAGCCGCGGUAAUACGGAGGAUGCGAGCGUUAUCCGGAUUUAUUGGGUUUAAAGGGAGCGCAGACGGGGGAUUAAGUCAGUUGUGAAAGUUUGCGGCUCAACCGUAAAAUUGCAGUUGAUACUGGUUCCCUUGAGUGCAGUUGAGGCAGGCGGAAUUCGUGGUGUAGCGGUGAAAUGCAUAGAUAUCACGAAGAACCCCGAUUGCGAAGGCAGCCUGCUAAGCUGUAACUGACGUUGAGGCUCGAAAGUGUGGGUAUCAAACAGGAUUAGAUACCCUGGUAGUCCACACGGUAAACGAUGAAUACUCGCUGUUUGCGAUAUACGGCAAGCGGCCAAGCGAAAGCGUUAAGUAUUCCACCUGGGGAGUACGCCGGCAACGGUGAAACUCAAAGGAAUUGACGGGGGCCCGCACAAGCGGAGGAACAUGUGGUUUAAUUCGAUGAUACGCGAGGAACCUUACCCGGGCUUAAAUUGCAACCGAAUAUGGCGGAAACGCUAUAGCUAGCAAUAGCGGUUGUGAAGGUGCUGCAUGGUUGUCGUCAGCUCGUGCCGUGAGGUGUCGGCUUAAGUGCCAUAACGAGCGCAACCCUUGCCGAUAGUUACUAACAGGUUAUGCUGAGGACUCUGUCGGGACUGCCAUCGUAAGAUGUGAGGAAGGUGGGGAUGACGUCAAAUCAGCACGGCCCUUACGUCCGGGGCUACACACGUGUUACAAUGGGGGGUACAGAGGGCUGCUACCACGCAAGUGGAUGCCAAUCCCAAAAACCUCUCUCAGUUCGGAUUGAAGUCUGCAACCCGACUUCAUGAAGCUGGAUUCACUAGUAAUCGCGCAUCAGCCACGGCGCGGUGAAUACGUUCCC